GUCUACAGCCAUGUCACCCUGAACAAACCUGAUCCCGUCUGAUCUCAGAAGCUAAGCAGGGUCGGGCCCGGUUCGUACUUGGAUGAGAGACCACCUAGGAAGACAAGGUGCUGUAGGCA
rnacentral:rRNA from 1 species